rnacentral:rRNA from 1 species
AUUGAACGCUGGCGGCAGGCUUAACACAUGCAAGUCGAGCGAGCGGCGGACGGGUGAGUAAUGUCUGGGAAACUGCCUGAUGGAGGGGGCUAACUACUGGAAACGGUAGCUAAUACCGCAUACCAUCAGAUGUGCCCAGAUGGGAUUAGCUAGUAGGUGGGGUAAUGGCUCACCUAGGCGACGAUCCCUAGCUGGUCUGAGAGGAGGACCAGCCACACUGGAACUUGGCCACGGGCCAUACUCCUACGGUAGGCAGAAGUGGGGAAUAUUGCACAAUGGGCGCAAGCCUGAUGCAGCCAUGCCGCGUGUGUGAAGAAGGCCUUCGGUUUGUAAAGCACUUUCAGCGAGGAGGCGUUACUCGCAGAAGACGCACCGGCUAACUCCGUGCCAGCAGCCGCGGUAAUAC